GCCUCACCCCUCGGCCCCAGGCCAGCCUUGGCUGGGAUGGCAGCCCCGCGAGACCCUUGGCUGGGGUGGCAUUGGGGAGAGGCGCGCGCGCUCGGCCGGGCGGUGAAGUUGCUACAGCGUCUGGAGGAGCAAUGCCGGGACCCCAGGCUGGUUAUGGGGCCCCCGUCGCUGCGGAACCUGCUGCCCCGCACCGCUCAGCUACUUCGGGAGGUGGCAAGAGCCCGGCGCGAGGCCGGGGGAGACUCCGAGGGUCCCGGUGGCGCUGGGGACUUUCUGGCCAUCUACCUGGCCAAUCUGGAAGUCAAAGGCAGGAAGGUGGCCGAGCUGCUGCCAUCCCGAGGCAAAAAGGAUGCGAACGAGGAGGUUUUCCGGGAGGGCUCCAGAUUCAGGCGGCAGCUGGCCAAGCUGGCCCUCAUCUUCAGUCACAUGCACGCCGAGCUGAGCGCACUCUUCCCUGGAGGAAAGUACUGUGGACACCUGUACCAGCUCACCAAGGGCUCGGCCCACACCUUCUGGAGGGAGCGCUGUGGGGUCCGGUGCGUGCUUCCCUGGGCAGAGUUCCAGUGCCUCCUGUGUAGCUGCCACCCUGUGGAACCAGGUCCCAUCAUGCAGGCCUUGCGUUCCACCUUGGACCUCACCUGUAGCGGCCACGUGUCUGUCUUUGAGUUUGACAUCUUCACCAGGCUCUUCCAGCCGUGGCCCACCCUGCUCAGGAACUGGCAACUCCUGGCUGUCAACCACCCUGGCUACAUGGCCUUCUUGACCUACGAUGAGGUCCAAACGCGCCUGCAGGCCUGCAGGGACAAACCGGGCAGCUACAUCUUCAGGCCCAGCUGCACCCGCCUGGGGCAGUGGGCUAUUGGGUACGUGAGUUCCGAUGGAAGCAUCCUACAGACCAUUCCUCUCAACAAACCCCUGUUCCAGGUGCUCCUGAAAGGACAAAAGGACGGCAUCUACCUCUACCCUGAUGGAAAGAGCCACAACCCAGACCUGACUGAGCUGUGCCAGACAGAACCCCACCAGCGCAUUGAAGUGUCCGAGGAGCAACUGCAGCUCUACCAGGCCAUGAACUCCACCUUCGAGCUGUGCAAGAUCUGCACCGAGAGGAACAAGGACGUGAGGAUUGAGCCUUGUGGGCACCUUCUCUGCAGCCACUGCCUGGCUGCCUGGCAGCACUCGGACAGCCAGACCUGUCCCUUCUGCCGCAGUCAGAUCAAAGGCCACGAGGCUGUGAGUAUCUGGCAGGCUCAAGAGAGGUCAGUGGAGGUCGGGACCACUGCAGAGGACUCCAGAGACAGCUCUCACCGGGAGGCUGCGCAGUGGGAGCUGGAGCCGGUGACUCCCUCUGCUCCCCGACUGCCCCCUGAAGACCCAUCCCCCAGGAGACCCCAAGACAAAGGCCGGCUGACAGUGGCAACCCUCACCCUGCCCAGGCUCCGAGCUCCACUUCCUUUACCAAAAAUGGCCUCGGUCCUGUGGGAAGUCACCGCCAGGCCCCAGGCCAGGGAAGGGGCCACAGAGAGCUCCUGAAGGGAUGUACCCUCCAGCCGGCCCUAGGCAGACCCGGUUAUGUCCAAGAUCCAGAGGCCAGGGCACCUGGACUGGAGGAAGGGAACCCUGGGGCUCGAAGAGAUGAUGAAAGUGAAAUAAACUGAAUCCUGGCCUUUCGA